CCCGCGGUGCGGCCUCGUGGGGUUCAGCCCUGCCACGGGGGCUUGUCCUGCUUCCGUGCGACACCGAAAAACUGGCAUCGCGAGCUCGCUAGAUCCGGCUGCCUACCUGCCCUUCCUUCCAUGCCCGGAGGUGCCUUCAUUCCCUUUGUGAGACCACCACCCUGGAGGACACCGAUCUCCCCAAACGGGACUCAUUGAUUACUGUGUGCUGUGCUCUGUACUAAGUCCCUUGCAGCCAAUAUCACCUUUAGCAAAACUAAAGUCCCUGUAAUGGUCACAGAGAAUCUGAGCUGGUGAAUUGAGUGUGAACAUAGCCCGCCACAGCAAUAUUGCUGCCUAAUAAGUUGAUUGAUCGGUAUGAAGCAAGAGCAUACUGACCUUUGUUGCUUUCUUUUGCUGUAAUACUGAUAAAAUGUCCACCAUGAUGAAUACGAGAGUAUAUAUUUUCUAGUGGUUUUGUCUUUGUGGAUGACCUCAGGCCAGCAGACUGGCAGCAGGAGCCAUGCAGAGAGCAGAGGAACCAUGCUGGGUAGCACGGCCAGCUCAUCCUCUAAGCCCAGAGCCCAGCUUGCAGCAGAAGUAGAUGAGGACGGUCUCCCUCCAUUACCAUCAACACACAGGCCCCAAGGGUCUGCUGCUUCCUCCUCUCUUGGUGUUCUGGCCCCAAAGAAGACAAAACUCAUUUCCUUGGUUCCUGUCUCACCAGUGAAAGCUGUCUAGAAGAUCCACAAAUACUUUAUGAAAAGACUAAAGAUGAGGGGGGAAAUCAAGUGAAUACCAGAAGCCCAAAGAUAGUCUUGCUGCCAGAACUCUACCUGUCACGGUGGGUCCCACAAGGUCGGGGACACUGCCUUAGUCAUCUUUCAUUUCCACCUCCCAGCGCAGUGCUGGAACUUGGUCAACGCGUGCUGAAUCAAACUGAACUGAUCCUUAGUCCCCAGGAAGAGAAGGCCAUGUUCGUGUGCCUUGCCCAGGGUUGCCUGUGUGCGCUUUCCUUCCCGGCUCUCAGACUAUUUCCGUAUGGCAGGAGCGUCUCAUCAACCAGCACACAGGAGCUUCCUCUUACACAACUUUGACGCUGUUAUGGUCAAGACUAAGGGAGCUAGACUCUCUCUGCAGCCCCGUACCUGUCCCUCCCCAGGUGUUUGACAGCAGACAUGGGCUCACUCUUAAAGGAGGUGCCCUCCUUCCCUCACUCUUUCACAUAGACGGAAAUGUGUGACCACACUGUGCCACCAAGCAGAUUUCCACCACAUCGUUGUGACACAAGCACUUUGCCUCCAAGGGAGGGAGUUAUACUACGCUGGCCAAAGUAUUUGCGCACAUGUACUGGUGGAGUGGAGACACCAGCUCGGGCAGGAUGGGUUUCCAUAGAGACUCUUGCCCUUGGAGCACUCGACACCCACUCAGCAGAUUACAACACCAAGAGCUGUGACUCUGACAGAUGACAGUUUUGGUGGUGCAGCCUAACUGUGAUUAACUGAUUGGCAUGUGGAGCCCAUCAGAAACAUUGUUUUAGAGUUGAAUAGAGCAAAAUUAGCAAUUGCUUUCUAACUGCUAAGCAUUUUCC
ensembl:lncRNA